UACGGAGGGGGCUAGCGUUGUUCGGAAUUACUGGGCGUAAAGCGUGCGCAGGCGGUUUUGUAAGUUUGUCGUGAAAUCCCCGGGCUUAACCUGGGAACUGCGUCCGAUACUGGCAGGCUUGAAUUCGGGAGAGGGAUGUGGAAUUCCAGGUGUAGCGGUGAAAUGCGUAGAUAUCUGGAGGAACAUCGGUGGCGAAGGCGACAUCCUGGACCGGUAUUGACGCUGAGGCGCGAAAGCCAGGGGAGCAAACGGG
rnacentral:rRNA from 1 species